rnacentral:lncRNA from 1 species
CUACCACAAUCCAGGUAGGAGGUGACAGUGCUGCAGCCAGGCUGCACGGCGAAGGAUGGGAGGGGCCCCCGGAGAAACCUGAAUCAGCCCUUCCCGCUGAGGCGUAUGGCCCAAUAAAGUAGAGGGGUGAAUUCAAAGCAAGACCUCAAGCAGGGGGUGAAGCGGACAUGAUGUAGAGAAGCUGCUGCUGAUGGCAAUGGGACCAGAAAAGGGGGGCCUAAGGAAGAGAGAACAUGAGAAGCAAAAAGGGCAGCCCCUUAACCUUCAACCUCAGAGGCUCGUGUGGGAGAAACCCAGUCAGGUCUGAGGGGAGAUCUCACAGCAAGGGGGUGGGUGGGACUUGACUCAGAUUGCAGUGGGGAGAAAUUUUAAUGACACCCCCUCCCUAGCAAACCAGCGAUGCAAGAUGGUGCCAGCACAAUAUGGUGCCAGUCAGGAGGUGGUUUGGAAUGGCUGAGGAAGGGAGUCUGGGAAGUGGCUUCAUGCAACGCUGCUCGUUCUAGUGAGAAUGCAGCCAGGUAGUCCUAGGUCCCAGGGGCUGCAGAGCCAAGAUCUGCCUCACCAGCUAUGUGCAGGGACCACGCACUUUGGCUUCACCUCUUCCUGCCCCUACCCCACCAGCAAGCCCCAGGGACCAGAACCAUCUCUGUCCUGCGUGUGUGUGUGUGUGUGUGUGUGUGUAAGAAUGCAGGGGACUCCACUCAGACCUUCAACCCUCUUGUCCCACCACCAUGAGGCCCAUGAACAUCUCUCUGCACCAGGAAAUUAUCUUGGCUGGGAGAAGGCGGAAGGGUGAGAAAACCUUGGAAUACUGAGCAAUUUUACUCAAAAGAGACUGAGUUAAUCAUACAGAAAUGGAGCUAUGUCUAAGGGGCAAUUUAAUGCUUUCUUUUUGUUUGUUUUCUUUUUGCCCGUCAGUAGUAGGAAUUAUCAGAUCACGAUGAGAAAAGUAUAAGAAAAAGUAAGAACAAUACUGAUUUGACCCAUCUGGGUAGGUGUGUGUGUGUGAUCUUUAGCCCUCCCACAAUUAUGUCUGUACACGUUUGCUGGGGCAACUGUAUAUUUUCAAUUCCAAUCGUCAGACCUUUCCUUGAAGCUCACGUGUGUUUUGAUCUGGCCAGGAAUUGAGAAUCAUAAAAUCAUUAAAUCUGUAUUAAUUACCUAUUGCUGCAUAGUAAGUUAAUCCAAAAUUUAGCUGAAAUAAAUAUGUAUUAUCUCA